UACGUAGGGAGCAAGCGUUGUUCGGAUUUACUGGGCGUAAAGGGCGCGUAGGCGGCAAUUCAAGUCAGCUGUGAAAUCUCCGGGCUUAACUCGGAACGGUCAGCUGAUACUGCUUUGCUAGAGUGCGGAAGGGGCAAUCGGAAUUCUCGGUGUAGCGGUGAAAUGCGUAGAUAUCGAGAGGAAUACCUGAGGUGAAGACGGGUUGCUGGGCCGACACUGACGCUGACAGCGCGAAAGCCAGGGGAGCAAACGGG
rnacentral:rRNA from 1 species